AGUGAACGCUGGCGGCAGGCCUAACACCUGCAAGUCGAACGGCAGCACAAGAGAGCUUGCUCUCUGGGUGGCGAGUGGCGGACGGGUGAGGAAUGCAUCGGAAUCUGCCCAUUUGUGGGGGAUAACCUCGGGAAACCGGGACUAAUACCGCAUACGACCUACGGGUGAAAGCAGGGGAUCUUCGGACCUUGCGCAGAUGGAUGAGCCGAUGCCGGAUUAGCUAGUUGGAGGGGUAAAGGCCCACCAAGGCGACGAUCCGUAGCUGGUCUGAGAGGAUGAUCAGCCACACUGGGACUGAGACACGGCCCAGACUCCUACGGGAGGCAGCAGUGGGGAAUAUUGGACAAUGGGCGCAAGCCUGAUCCAGCCAUGCCGCGUGUGUGAAGAAGGCCUUCGGGUUGUAAAGCACUUUUGUUGGGAAAGAAAAGCAGCCGGUUAAUACCCGGUUGUCAUGACGGUACCCAAAGAAUAAGCACCGGCUAACUUCGUG
rnacentral:rRNA from 1 species